GACGAACGCUGGCGGCGUGCCUAAUACAUGCAAGUCGAACGCUGAAGAGAGGAGCUUGCUCUUCUUGGAUGAGUUGCGAACGGGUGAGUAACGCGUAGGUAACCUGCCUUGUAGCGGGGGAUAACUAUUGGAAACGAUAGCUAAUACCGCAUAACAAUGGAUGACACAUGUCAUUUAUUUGAAAGGGGCAAUUGCUCCACUACAAGAUGGACCUGCGUUGCAUUAGCUAGUAGGUGAGGUAAUGGCUCACCUAGGCGACGAUACAUAGCCGACCUGAGAGGGGGAUCGGCCACACUGGGACUGAGACACGGCCCAGACUCCUACGGGAGGCAGCAGUAGGGAAUCUUCGGCAAUGGGGGCAACCCUGACCGAGCAACGCCGCGUGAGUGAAGAAGGUUUUCGGAUCGUAAAGCUCUGUUGUAAGUCAAGAACGGGUGUGAGAGUGGAAAGUUCACACUGUGACGGUAGCUUACCAGAAAGGGACGGCUAACUACGUG
rnacentral:rRNA from 1 species